rnacentral:rRNA from 1 species
GAUCCUGGCCUCAGGAUGAACGCUAGCUACAGGCUUAACACAUGCAAGUCGAGGGGAAACGACAUCGAAAGCUUGCUUUUGAUGGGCGUCGACCGGCGCACGGGUGAGUAACGCGUAUCCAACCUGCCCAUCACUUGGGAAUAACCUUGCGAAAGUAAGACUAAUACCCAAUGAUAUCCCACGAAGGCAUCCGAAUGGGAUUAAAGAUUUAUCGGUGAUGGAUGGGGAUGCGUCUGAUUAG